rnacentral:rRNA from 1 species
UACGAAGGGGGCUAGCGUUGUUCGGAAUUACUGGGCGUAAAGCGAACGUAGGCGGUGUUCCAUGUCAGAGGUGAAAGCCUGGAGCUCAACUCCAGAAUUGCCUUUGAAACGGGGACGCUUGAGUCCGAGAGAGGGUGGCGGAAUUCCUAGUGUAGAGGUGAAAUUCGUAGAUAUUAGGAAGAACACCAGUGGCGAAGGCGGCCACCUGGCUCGGUACUGACGCUCAGGUUCGAAAGCGUGGGGAGCAAACAGG